GUAAAGGUCAACCGGCCCACAAUGCCGCGACCGUUUUCCAUCCCUCCUCCCCUGAAGAAGUCGAAACCCUCCCACCGCCGGUGGGCGGUGGCGGCAAGCCGGCAACGGCGGAAUCCACCCUCCUCCGGCGGCGCUGGCUGAAGACGACAGCCAUGCCUACCUACCUGCCUUCCUGCCUUUCCCCUCCCUUUCUCCCCUAGCUAGGGGAAUGUGCGAGAGCAGUCUAGACUCUAGAGGCGGGGGGGGGGGGGGGGGGGCUUUUUCUCCUCGUCCAGGUUCUCACGGCGAAAUUCCGCUCCUCCUUUUUGUGCCUGCGACGAGCACUCCCGUAUCGCGAAUGGAUUGGCUGGUUUUCUGGGUUCCUUCAGUGAAAAAUCUGGCCGUGUAGGUGUCGAAGGCCAGAGAUUAUCGAAGUUUUUGUGUUUUGGUCUUGUGAAUUUUGCGAAGGUAAACCUCAUAUAUCUCUGAUGGGAUUGAUGUAUGUCUGGGGAAUGCUUCUUAUAUUUGGCAUGAUUCUCAUUAUCUAAUUUUUUUUUGGCAUGAUUCUGAUUUCUGAGACCUUGAAUUGACGAUAACUUUCCCAGAUUAAUGUUGGGAUUUGCAGUAGUAUUACAAGACAUGUUAAACAUAUUAAGUACUAGCAUGAUACUGGUAGGAAUUGAAGGCUCAUGGCCCUAACAUGAGCAUGAUAUAUAUUCACCCAUUUCACCCGUAUCAGUUUCAGCUUUGGAAUCAGGAUACUGUGGUAGUUUUGAUGGUGUUCUUACAUAACUUGCCUGCGCAUGGAGCAUGUCUCGAUCCUUACUAUUGUCGAUUUAAUUUUUCCUGUUGCAACAUGAACUCAAAGCCUAGGAUCUAGAACAAAAUUAUCAUCUAUUUCUGUUUUGUUAUGAAUAUAACUGUGCCAUUGUUCUUCCUAUGCUCGACUCCAGAAUGAAAAAGAUAAGUUGCAUUGACUAAAAUCUCACUGAAUACGGUGCCCGAAAAAACUGUUCACAUGACCUCCUGAUUAAAGACGAAAAAUAUACACCUAAAGCCAACAGUUUGCAGAAAUAUUUAUUAAUGUUUCUCUUGAAUGAAAAUACAAUAACUCCUUAAAGUCGUCCUGGAUGGAUCACUGAUGAAGAUAAUACUACCGAGGUACCUUCUCAAUUUUCAAAUAGAAAUGAACUUUUAAACCUAUUUCCCCCCAAUGAACAAGAGGUUUUACUGCCUGAUAUUAUGUCAACACCUGCUUAAUGGCUAAUUCUGCUCCUGUUAAGUUGAAGGUGAACUACCAGUGUAAGUGAACUGUCUGCUUAAGAAUCCCAAAUGGGUUUUUCCAAUGCAGUGGGGUCAAGAGAUGACUGAUGGUAAGAGUAGAUAUGUUCCUGAGGUUUCUCCUGCUCAUCAGAAUAGCUUAAUGCUGUCACAUCCGCGUUGUAGGUCUCGGAACUCAUAUCCAAAGUCCCACUCCCUCCUAAACCCAGAAAGUCUUGGGUUAGUCCUGCAUCUGCAUCUACUACACCUGAAAUGUUGUCCUGUCUGUUGUGCUGUGUCUGGUUUUCAGGGAAAAUGCUAGGGUUAUCCUUUUCUUCUCUCAUGGAAAAUGGAUGGUUCAUUAGUCCAAUUAAAGGCACAGUACCUGGCCUCAUGAUGCCACUGGACCACGGUGCGUUGAUCAGAAUAUUACCACGGCCAAUCAUCACAAGUUUCUUAGUUCAUGGCUAAAACGGCACUGCACAAGAACAUAUUGAGUUUCCAGUUCUGAGGAUCAGAGGUGCUAAAAAGCCAGGUGUAACCAAGAAACACAAUUAUUGUUUUGAGCAUUGCUUUGAUGCAUUUAUUAUGUCACUUGCACAGUUGCACGUGUGCUCAUGAAAUCAGACAAUUAUCACUCGAAAUAAUGAGGUUAGGACUGUUGACCAGCAUUAGUUGAAAAAUGAUAUUAUGAAAUGCUACAAUAACAAACGCUUUGUUAGGAAAGAUCGAAGGGACGUACCUGGGUUUCCUGGGUGACCUCGUCUCUUCUUCACCACAGGCAUGACAGUGUCACCUUUGCUUGAUCCAGCAGCGCAAGCCUCUAGCUUCGGUUGCUGCUGGAGGUUGUUCAAGGAUUCUUCCUCUGAUGUGUGUGACAUUGUUUGGAGGCUCAGUUAGUGGUUUUAGAGGGUGCCAGUAAAGUGAGGAGGGUUGAUGAUUUAUGCACAACAGAGUGGAGGGACUACAACUGGACAAUAGGGAAAUGGUGAAUUCCCUUUCAGUCACCAUCAAGGACUGCAACCAUUAGUUUUAAAUCUGAGGAACACGACGCUGAUUGUUUCGUCAGCAUGGAAUGUUCUGUUCAUUGUUCCUGAUUAUUUUGUCAGGAUCACUGGAGUUUCCUGAGUGAAGCUCCACAUGAAGAGAGAUAUCGAGCCUUGAGUUGCAUGCCUACUGUACGCCCAUUUUGUUGCAAAUUAUAACAGUUUCAUUUAGUGUGCGCUAUGAGCGACAGGUCGAUAUGAUGACCAUUUGGGGAUCUCAAAGAAAACACUUCACUGCAGACAGUAAAUCUGUGCUACUGGACCUUUAUUUUUCUCCUGCUGUGAGUAUAAAUCUGAACACCUUGUAACUAUCGACACGAGGAUGGAAUUCAUGUCAUAUUUCACCGCAGGUGGAACAAUGGCUGUGAAGAGCAGGCAGGAGGCGGUUUUGUCGGUACAAGGAAGGUGAUGGAUAUGACAAGGGGGAGAUCCGGGAGGAGAGACAAACUCUGGCCAUGUUCUUUUUCUAACCGGCAUCCAUGGUAUCUCCCUCCUCUGCUGGCACAACUGUCAGACUUGCUCUUGUUUUAGUGCUUGGAGCAUGGUGGUACCUGGGGGCUUUGAAGGUUUCCACGGCAUGUCAUCCAAUGCAGAUACUGAGACCGGAGAGAGGCUGGAAGGUAUGUCAAAUGAACCGUUCACCGAUUUGGCUACUUCUAGUUAUCUCCGGUCUCAGCAUCUGCAUUGGAUUUGUCCAGAGAUGGGUUUUUUUGGAUUUGCUCACUGACCUCUCCAUGAACUUCAUAUGUUAGUUUAAGUACAUUAACAGCUUAUAUACUCUUCAAGUCAUCAUUUUUCCCUAUUCAUGGUAGGAUAUACAAUCUUUGCUAAUAUGAACCUGUGAACCAAUCCAUGGCACCACUUGGAUUUGCAGAAAGCAAAUCAUUAGGAAGUGUUGCAGGAUCUCUGAUCAUCAUCAAUCUGGAGCAAGCUGUGCCUUGUU